GAGAAACACAUAUCCAUGAGAUUUUUUUUGAUCAUUGGUUUUAUUUUUAUUUUUUGAGAUUUUGAUACAUGGAAGAAUAUGCUGUCUCACUAUGAAAUGAACAAAAUAUUGACCUCAUAUUAUUAUUUCUUUAUGUAAAAAAUUCAAAGCCUUUGGUUAAGGAUAGCAUCAAACAAGAACACUAUUCACAAGUUCUACUUUUACAACAAAAAAUAAAACGUACACAAUGUUUUUUAUGCAUUUGAUGCGUUUUGUAUCAGAU
rnacentral:lncRNA from 1 species